AUUUGUGUAAAUCACUGUCUUCAAUUUGGUAGUUACCUUUAUAAUGUAAUGAAGGUUUCUAACACGGAAAAGAGAACAGCUAUUAUCUAAUUCCAAAAGUGAAUGUCAACUGUCAAGAAAUAUAUCCAAAAAUAUCAUCUUUAAGUAGCUCCUUUUCAAUCUGCUGUAAGUAAAUAAGAGGAUAAAUGAUCUCCUUGCAGCUUGCUCCAUUGAGGGAACAAGAUGAAUAAAAGAUGGUGAGGACUAUUGUAACAAAUUUAUGACUUACUAAAUGAUCCCUUGA
rnacentral:lncRNA from 1 species